UUUGUAUAAUGGGUCAGCGACUUAUAUUCAGUGGCAAGGUUAACCAUCUAGGGGAGCCGUAGGGAAACCGAGUCUUAACUGGGCGUUCAGUCUCUGGAUAUAGACCCGAAACCAGGUGAUCUAGCCAUGGGCAGGUUGAAGGUUGAGUAACAUCAACUGGAGGACCGAACCGACUAAUGUUGAAAAAUUAGCGGAUGACUUGUGGCUAGGGGUGAAAGGCCAAUCAAACCUGGAGAUAGCUGGUUCUCCCCGAAAGCUAUUUAGGUAGCGCCUCGGACGAAUACUACUGGGGGUAGAGCACUGUUAAGGCUAGGGGGUCAUCCCGACUUACCAACCCUUUGCAAACUCCGAAUACCAGUAAGUACUAUCCGGGAGACACACGGCGGGUGCUAACGUCCGUCGUGGAGAGGGAAACAACCCAGACCGCCAGCUAAGGUCCCAAAUUACUACUAAGUGGGAAACGAUGUGGGAAGGCUCAGACAGCCAGGAUGUUGGCUUAGAAGCAGCCAUCAUUUAAAGAAAGCGUAAUAGCUCACUGGUCGAGUCGGCCUGCGCGGAAGAUGUAACGGGGCUAAGUAGUAAACCGAAGCUGCGGCAAUAUACUUUUGUAUAUUGGGUAGGGGAGCGUUCUGUAAGCGGUUGAAGGUGUGUGGUAACGCAUGCUGGACGUAUCAGAAGUGCGAAUGCUGACAUGAGUAACGAUAAAGGGGGUGAAAAACCUCCUCGCCGGAAGACCAAGGGUUCCUGUCCAACGUUAAUCGGGGCAGGGUAAGUCGACCCCUAAGGCGAGGCCGAAAGGCGUAGUCGAUGGGAAACGGGUUAAUAUUCCCGUACUUCUUACAAUUGCGAUGGGGGGACGGAGAAGGCUAGGUGGGCCUGGCGACGGUUGUCCAGGUUCAAGUGCGUAGGCUUAAGAGUUAGGUAAAUCCGGCUCUUUUUAAGGCUGAGACACGACGUCGAGCUACUACGGUAGUGAAGUCAUUGAUGCCAUGCUUCCAGGAAAAGCCUCUAAGCUUCAGAUUGUAAGGAAUCGUACCCCAAACCGACACAGGUGGUCGGGUAGAGAAUACCAAGGCGCUUGAGAGAACUCGGGUGAAGGAACUAGGCAAAAUGGUACCGUAACUUCGGGAGAAGGUACGCUCUUGAUGGUGAAGUCCCUUGCGGAUGGAGCUGACGAGAGUCGCAGAUACCAGGUGGCUGCAACUGUUUAUUAAAAACACAGCACUGUGCAAAAUCGUAAGAUGACGUAUACGGUGUGACGCCUGCCCGGUGCCGGAAGGUUAAUUGAUGGGGUUAGACUUCGGUCGAAGCUCUUGAUCGAAGCCCCGGUAAACGGCGGCCGUAACUAUAACGGUCCUAAGGUAGCGAAAUUCCUUGUCGGGUAAGUUCCGACCUGCACGAAUGGCGUAAUGAUGGCCACGCUGUCUCCACCCGAGACUCAGUGAAAUUGAAAUCGCUGUGAAGAUGCAGUGUACCCGCGGCUAGACGGAAAGACCCCGUGAACCUUUACUACAGCUUGGCACUGAACAUUGACCCUACAUGUGUAGGA
rnacentral:rRNA from 1 species